rnacentral:tRNA from 1 species
UCCCAGGUGGCUUAGAUGGUAAAGCAUCUGCCUGCAAUGCAGAAGAUGUGGGUUCGAUCCCUGAGUUGGAG